rnacentral:rRNA from 1 species
ACGCACGCUGGCGGCAUGCCUAACACAUGCCAGUCGCACGCGACCUUCGGGUCUAGUGGCGCACGGGUGCGUAACGCGUGGGAACCUGCCCUUAGGUUCGGAAUAACUCCCCGAAAGGGGUGCUAAUACCGGAUAAUGUCUUCGGACCAAAGAUUUAUCGCCUUUGGAUGGGCCCGCGUUGGAUUAGCUAGUUGGUAGGGUAAAAGCCUACCAAGGCGACGAUCCAUAGCUGGUCUGAGAGGAUGAUCAGCCACACUGGGACUGAGACACGGCCCAGACUCCUACGGGAGGCAGCAGUGGGGAAUAUUGGACAAUGGGCGAAAGCCUGAUCCAGCAAUGCCGCGUGAGUGAUGAAGGCCUUAGGGUUGUAAAGCUCUUUUACCCGGGAUGAUAAUGACAGUACCGGGAGAAUAAGCUCCGGCUAACUCCGUG